CCUACGGGAGGCAGCAGUGAGGAAUAUUGGUCAAUGGUCGGGAGACUGAACCAGCCAAGCCGCGUGAGGGAUGAAGGUACAGAGUAUCGUAAACCUCUUUUGUCAGGGAACAAAGGCGGGGACGUGUCCCCGGAUGCGUGUACCGGAAGAAAAAGCAUCGGCUAAGUCCGUGCCAGCAGCCGCGGUAAUACGGAGUAUGCGAGCGUUAUCCGGAUUUAUUGGGUUUAAAGGGUGCGCAGGCGGUCUGUUAAGUGAGAUGUGAAAUCCGCGGGCUUAACCCGCGAAUUGCAGGUGAAACUAUAGGUCUUGAGUGCGCGGGAGGUAGGCGGAAGUCGUGGUGUAGCGGUGAAAUGCGUAGAUAUGAGGAAGAACACCGGUGGCGAAGGCAGAUUGCUGGACGGUAACUGACGGUGAGGCGCGAAAGCGUGGGGAGCGAACAGGAUUAGAUACCCCUGUAGUC
rnacentral:rRNA from 1 species